UAUACUGUGAAACUGCGAAUGGCUCAUUAAAUCAGUUAUCGUUUAUUUGAUAGUACCUUACUACACGGAUAUCUGUGGUAAUUCUAGAGUUAAUACGUGCUAAAAACCUCGACUUUCGGAAGGGGUGUAUUUAUUAGACUAAAAACCAAUGCCCUUCGGGGCUCCUUGGUGAUUCAUAAUAACUCAACGAAUCGCAUGGCCUUGCGCCGGCGAUGGUUCAUUCAAAUUUCUGCCCUAUCAACUUUCGAUGCUAGGGUAGUGGCCUAGCAUGGUUACAACGGGUAACGGGGGAUUAGGGUUCUAUUCCGGAGAGGGAGCCUGAGAAACGGCUACCACAUCCAAGGAAGGCAGCAGGCGCGCAAAUUACCCAAUCCCGACACGGGGAGGUAGUGACAAUAAAUACUGAUACAGGGCUCUUUUGGGUCUUGUAAUUGGAAUGAGUACGAUUUAAACACCCUAACGAGGAACAAUUGGAGGGCAAGUCUGGUGCCAGCAGCCGCGGUAAUUCCAGCUCCAAUAGCGUAUAUUAAAGUUGUUGCAGUUAAAACGCUCGUCGUUGAACCUUGGGCCUGGGCGACCGGUCUCCCUCACCGGAUGCACUGGUUCGGCCGGGCCUUUCCUUCUGGGGAAUCGCAUGCCCUUCGCUGGGCGUGUCGAGGAUCCAGGACUUUUACUUUGAAAAAAUUAGAGUGUUCAAAGCAGGCCUUUGCUCGAAUACCUUAGCAUGGAAUAAUAGAAUAGGACGUGCGGUCCUAUUUUGUUGGUUUCUAGGACCGCCGUAAUGAUUAAUAGGGUCAGUUGGGGGCAUCAGUAUUCAAUUGUCAGAGGUGAAAUUCUUAGAUUUAUUGAAGACUAACUACUGCGAAAGCAUUUGCCAAAGAUGUUUUCAUUAAUCAGUGAACGAAAGUUAGGGGAUCGAAGACGAUCAGAUACCGUCGUAGUCCUAACCAUAAACUAUGCCGACUAGGGAUCGGGCGAUGUUAUCAUUUUGACUCGCUCGGCACCUUACGAGAAAUCAAA
rnacentral:rRNA from 1 species